rnacentral:rRNA from 1 species
AUUGAACGCUGGCGGCAUGCUUUACACAUGCAAGUCGAACGGCAGCGCGGGGCAACCUGGCGGCGAGUGGCGAACGGGUGAGUAAUAUAUCGGAACGUACCCAAGAGUGGGGGAUAACGUAGCGAAAGUUACGCUAAUACCGCAUACGAUCUAAGGAUGAAAGUGGGGGAUCGCAAGACCUCAUGCUCCUUGAGCGGCCGAUAUCUGAUUAGCUAGUUGGUGAGGUAAAGGCUCACCAAGGCGACGAUCAGUAGCUGGUCUGAGAGGACGACCAGCCACACUGGGACUGAGACACGGCCCAGACUCCUACGGGAGGCAGCAGUGGGGAAUUUUGGACAAUGGGCGCAAGCCUGAUCCAGCAAUGCCGCGUGAGUGAAGAAGGCCUUCGGGUUGUAAAGCUCUUUUGUCAGGGAAGAAACGGCUGAGGAUAAUACCUUCGGCUAAUGACGGUACCUGAAGAAUAAGCACCGGCUAACUACGUGCCAGCCGCCGCUGUAA